rnacentral:rRNA from 1 species
UACGUAGGGGGCAAGCGUUGUCCGGAAUCAUUGGGCGUAAAGAGCGUGUAGGCGGCCCGGUAAGUCCGCUGUGAAAGUCCAGGGCUCAACCCUGGGAUGCCGGUGGAUACUGUCGGGCUCGAGUCCGGAAGAGGAGUGUGGAAUUCCGUGGUGUAAGCGGUGAAAUGCGCAGAUAUCAGGAGGAACACCAAUGGCGAAGGCAGCUCGCUGGGACGUGACUGACGCUGAGACGCGAAAGCGUGGGGAGCAAACAGG